rnacentral:ncRNA from 1 species
AAAAGUUUGAUUCUUGCUUUAUUAUUAAUUUUAAGUUUAAAUUUACAUGUAAUAUAAUUUUUAAUAUUUAUUUUUCAGUAAUUAGAUUUAUUUUUAUAAAUUAACAUUUAUUUAGUUAUUAUAAAAUAAUUGAUAAAUUUUGUGCCAGCAUUCGCGGUUAUACAAUUUAUUAAAGUUAAUUUUUUAGGUUUAAAACUAUUAGAUUUUUAUUAGUUUAAAAUUUUUAUAUUUAGGUGAAAUUUAUAUAUAAUUAAUUUUCUUCAUCUAUUUUUUUUGAAAUUUGAUUUUUAGACUAGGAUUAGAUACCCUAUUAUUUCUUUAUUUAAAUAAUUUUUUCCUGAAUAUUAAUAGUUAUGUUCUUUAAACUCAAAGAAUUUGGCGGUAAUUAAUCUUUUUAGAGGAACCUGAUUUUUAAUUGAUAAACCACGAUAGAAUCUAUCUUAUUUGUAUUUGUAUACCUCUAUAUAUAUGGAAAAUCUUAAUAGAGUUUAAUUUUCUUUAAGCUUUAUUUUAGGUUAAUAUUAGGUCAAGGUGCAGUUUUAAUAAGGUUAAAUUGGGUUACUUAAAAUUUUAAUUUUUAAUUUUUAUAAAAAAAUACAUAUUUAUAAUUUUUAGGAUUUAAUAGUAAUUUUAAUUGAUUUUUUAAUUUGAAUUUAGCUCUAAAUUAUGUACAUAUCGCCCGUCACUCCCAAUGAUAUGGGAUAAGUCGUAACAAAGUAGUUGUACCGGAAGGUGUAGCUAGAAAGUU